rnacentral:rRNA from 1 species
UACGGGGGGGGCAAGCGUUGUUCGGAAUUACUGGGCGUAAAGGGUUAGUAGGUGGCCAACUAAGUCAGACGUGAAAUCCCUCAGCUUAACUGGGGAACUGCGUCUGAGACUGAUUGGCUCGAGGACAGGAGAGGAACGCGGAAUUCCAGGUGUAGCGGUGAAGUGCGUAGAUAUCUGGAGGAACACCGGUGGCGAAGGCGGCGUUCUGGACUGUUUCUGACACUGAAUAACGAAAGCCAGGGGAGCAAACGGG